rnacentral:rRNA from 1 species
UACGGGGGGGGUAAGCGUUGUUCGGAAUUACUGGGCGUAAAGGGCUCGUAGGCGGCCAACUAAGUCAGACGUGAAAUCCCUCAGCUUAACUGGGGAACUGCGUCUGAUACUGGAUGGCUUGGAUCCGGAAGAGGGAUGCGGAAUUCCAGGUGUAGCGGUGAAAUUCGUAGAUAUCGGGAGGAACACCAGUGGCGAAGGCGGCGAUCUGGGAAGAUACUGACGCUGAGGUGCGAAAGCGUGGAGAGCAAACAGG